rnacentral:lncRNA from 1 species
GACAGUAGGGAUGCAAAGACAGACAAAAGACAGUUCCUCCUCCAAGAGCUUAAUGGGGGAAGCAACUUCGCAAACAGCUAUGGAAAAGCAAGAUAUGCCAAGGACAGAUGCUUUGUGAAAGUUUGCUAGAGUGAGCCAGAGCUCUCAUUGCAGACACAGCCUGGACUUACCCCGUCUUUUACAGAGCUAAAGCUUAGCCUCCAACCCAUGAAGAGGGCAGAUUUCCUUAGGAUCCAGACACAACUGUUUAUACCAAAGAAAAGAAGGGACCUCUUUCUGUUUCUCCUAGCCUCUCAAGUGUUGUGUCAUGCCUCUUCUCAGGUUCAUCUUUUUGGAUUUGGUCCUAUGCUCCAUCUUGACUGCUGAGAUCUUUUAGAUUCUAUCAUUCAGGAUAUUUACUACCUCUCCUAGCUUUGUGUCAUCAACAAAUUUGGUAAGUAUACCAUUUAAGCCUUUAUUUAAGUUAUUGAUAAACAUAUUAAAGCUUAGCACACGGCUAAACAUAGAUCAUUGGAGUAUUCCUAUCAACUUGAUCAUAAAACUAUUUACUAUUUGAGUCUAUUCAUUCAAACAGAACUAAAACCAUCCAAUUUUUAUCCCUCCCACCACAAGAACCCCCAUCACUCUCAUUUCUCCCUCUCUUCCAAAAGAAUAGUAUGAGGGGGCAACUGGGUAGCUCAGUGGAUUGAGAGCCAGACCUAGAGAUGGGAGGUCCUAGGUUUAAAUCUGGCCUCAGACACUUCCCAGCUGUGUGACCCUGGGCAAGUCACUUAACUCCCAUUGCCUACCCUUACCACUCUUCUGCCUUGGAACCAAUACACAGUAUUGAUUCCAAGAUGGAAGGUAAGAGUUUAAAAAAAAAAGAAUAGUAGGAGACUGUUGGGAGUUUCCGUCUCUCUUUCUCUCUCCUGUUCUCUUUAUCACAUCCCCUUCCCAUCCAUCUCCCUCCCCAAUGGCACAGUAGAUAGAACUCUGGAGUCAGAUUCUAAAUUCAGCUUUGUGACCCUGGGCAAGCUUUGUCUGCUACAAUUUCCUUAUCUGUAAAAUAGCUAUAAUAACAUCUACUUCUCUGGGUUCUUAAGAGGAUCAAAUGAGAUAUUCAUAAAACUUUUUAUAAACCUCGAGGAACUAU